UUUGAUGAUGAAAUAUUAAAUAUAUGUGUUAAAUUAUCAUGUUUUGUCUUUGGAUUUUUGAUGAAUAUGAGUAAAUUGGACUAAAUUUUGAAAAUAAAUUUUUGAGGGACUAACAUGUGAAAUAAAUGAAAUGUAUGGACUUGAUGAGCUAGAGUGAUAUUCGGCCAAGCAUGGGUAUUAUGAAAUUUUGUGUAUUUUGUGUUUUAUGCAAUAGGGAC
rnacentral:lncRNA from 1 species